AUUAUUGAUAUUCGAGAUAUUCUUCGAGUUGAUAGCAUAGACCAAAUGAGAGAUGUUUAUAUUGUACAGUGUUUGAUGGAGACUGAUUUGUAUAAACUACUUAAAACACAGUUUCUUUUAGCUGAUGUUGUGACCAAGUGCACCCACACAACCUAGGAUCCCUGUAAGAUUUAACAAACUUCACCUAAUAUUUAUAUGUCGUCGUCGCUCUAGACGACUAUGAUGGCUUCCUCUCACACAUUCUGGCAGCGAUCACCCUUGAUCGUCGACUGCUUCUGGGAAUGGUCAAAGCGAUAAGUCUAGGAAGCCUUUAAGAUCUACAAAUCACUGCGAAAACUUGCCCCGCAAUUGGCGGUGCUUAGAAAGACGGCACUACAAUGGACGUAUUCACAUACGUAGGCUCACCUAAUCCUGAGGAUAUCCUGAGGGAUAAGACUGGAAGUGCGAACCAAACGUAAAUGUGUCUUGUAUUUAACCUGUUAGACCAACUAACUUUUCGCGAUCCGAACUUAGCGGCAGUUAAACGGCACGACGACGAUUCGGACCCGCGAUUGACUCCGGAUUGAUUGACAAAAUUGAGCGCAAAGACUAGCGGUAGCAGUUGACUGCUUUUGUAAACAAUAUUGGUGGUCGACGCCUUCGGAAUUGCCAAAGAAUCUACGGGAGUCAAAGGAGGUUGCCCCGUAAGACUCAAAAUUCAACGAACGUGGCCCUCCCUGCGCUCAAUUAUAUGUUUGGAAUACCCUCACCGGCGAUAUCGGGACCGCCUCGGGGAAAACUCCUUGACUCCUGACUCAUGACUCACUGAUUCUUUAGUGGUGAGUUUAGAGCGGAAUUGCCUGGAGAAAUAUGAUUUUAAGACUUCCAACAUAAAUUUAAUCGGGGUCCUUUAUGUUGGCACCCUGGUUAUUCUAUGGGCAAAUGUAAAAAUAAAUUUUUUUGCGCGAAACUAAACUUUCAAAC